GACGAACGCUGGCGGCGUGCUUAACACAUGCAAGUCGAACGGAAAGGCCCUGCUGUUGUGGGGUGCUCGAGUGGCGAACGGGUGAGUAACACGUGAGUAACCUGCCCUUGACUGUGGGAUAACUUCAGGAAACUGGGGCUAAUACCGGAUAGGAGCUCCUGCUGCAUGGUGGGGGUUGGAAAGUUUCGGCGGUUGGGGAUGGACUCGCGGCUUAUCAGCUUGUUGGUGGGGUAGCGGCUUACCAAGGCUUUGACGGGUAGCCGGCCUGGGAGGGUGACCGCCCACAUUGGGCCUGAGAUACGGCCCAGACUCCUACGGGGGGCAGCAGUGGGAAAUAUUGCACAAUGGGCGGAAGCCUGAUGCAGCAACGCCGCGUGCGGGAUGACGGCCUUCGGGUUGUAAACCGCUUUCGCCUGUGACGAAGCGUGAGUGACGGUAAUGGGUAAAGAAGCACCGGCUAACUACGUG
rnacentral:rRNA from 1 species